rnacentral:rRNA from 1 species
UCGAAAGAGAGCCGUAACACAGGUGCUGCAUGGCUGUCGUCAGCUCGUGUCGUGAGAUGUUGGGUUAAGUCCCGCAACGAGCGCAACCCUUGUCAUUAGUUGCUACAUUCAGUUGGGCACUCUAAUGAGACUGCCGGUGACAAACCGGAGGAAAGGUGGGGAUGACGUCAAGUCCUCAUGGCCCUUAUAGGUGGGGCUACACACGUCAUACAAUGGAUGGUACAAAGGGUCGCCAACCCGCGAGGGGGAGCCAAUCCCAUAAAGCCAUUCGUAGUCCGGAUCGCAGUCUGCAACUCGACUGCGUGAAGUCGGAAUCGCUAGUAAUCGUGGAUCAGAAUGUCACGGUGAAUACGUUCCCGGGUCUU